rnacentral:rRNA from 1 species
GACGAACGCUGGCGGCGUGCCUAAUACAUGCAAGUAGAACGCUGAAGCGAGGAGCUUCCUCUUCUUGGAUGAGUUGCGAACGGGUGAGUAACGCGUAGGUAACCUGCCUUGUAGCGGGGGAUAACUAUUGGAAACGAUAGCUAAUACCGCAUAACAAUGGAUGACACAUGUCAUUUAUUUGAAAGGGGCAAUUGCUCCACUACAAGAUGGACCUGCGUUGUAUUAGCUAGUAGGUGAGGUAAUGGCUCACCUAGGCGACGAUACAUAGCCGACCUGAGAGGGUGAUCGGCCACACUGGGACUGAGACACGGCCCAGACUCCUACGGGAGGCAGCAGUAGGGAAUCUUCGGCAAUGGGGGCAACCCUGACCGAGCAACGCCGCGUGAGUGAAGAAGGUUUUCGGAUCGUAAAGCUCUGUUGUAAGUCAAGAACGGGUGUGAGAGUGGAAAGUUCACACUGUGACGGUAGCUUACCAGAAAGGGACGGCUAACUACGU